UACGUAGGGUGCAAGCGUUGUCCGGAAUUAUUGGGCGUAAAGAGCUCGUAGGCGGUUUGUCGCGUCUGCUAUGAAAACCCGAGGCUCAACCUCGGGCCUGCAGUGGGUACGGGCAGACUAGAGUGCGGUAGGGGAGAUUGGAAUUCCUGGUGUAGCGGUGGAAUGCGCAGAUAUCAGGAGGAACACCAAUGGCGAAGGCAGAUCUCUGGGCCGUAACUGACGCUGAGGAGCGAAAGCGUGGGGAGCGAACAGG
rnacentral:rRNA from 1 species